UCCCUUCAGAGCAAUGGGUAGCUCAUCGGACUUCUAAUCCAAAGGUCAUGUGUUCGAAUACCACGUAAUUUCUGAGAAA